AGUGAACGCUGGCGGUAGGCCUAACACAUGCAAGUCGAACGGCAGCACAGUAAGAGCUUGCUCUUACGGGUGGCGAGUGGCGGACGGGUGAGGAAUACAUCGGAAUCUACUUUUUCGUGGGGGAUAACGUAGGGAAACUUACGCUAAUACCGCAUACGACCUACGGGUGAAAGCAGGGGAUCUUCGGACCUUGCGCGAUUGAAUGAGCCGAUGUCGGAUUAGCUAGUUGGCGGGGUAAAGGCCCACCAAGGCGACGAUCCGUCGCUGGUCUGAGAGGAUGAUCAGCCACACUGGAAAUGAGACACGGUCCAGACUCCUACGGGAGGCAGCAGUGGGGAAUAUUGGACAAUGGGCGCAAGCCUGAUCCAGCCAUACCGCGUGGGUGAAGAAGGCCUUCGGGUUGUAAAGCCCUUUUGUUGGGAAAGAAAAGCAGCAGGUUAAUACCCCGCUGUUCUGACGGUACCCAAAGAAUAAGCACCGGCUAACUUCGU
rnacentral:rRNA from 1 species